CUACUACUUAAAAAGACUAAAGUGGUUCCUUAUUCUGCCAAUACGUUCGUUGUCCUCAUUUUCUGCUAGCUUCUACGUCGCUCCACCAAGUUGGGCCAGGCCCAUAACAAUGCAUCCGGUCCCUCGUUCCAUCUUCCAAUUCCCCACGAUACCCUGACCCGCUCCCCCGCCGCCGCCUCCCAUCAACCUCCAGCACCGUGCCACCGCGAGUUCGCCCCCCACGGGUCAGAUGAGACGCGCGACGGUACAUCGCCUGGCUGCUCCCUCCUCCACCUCCUCCUCGGUCGCCAUGGCCUCCUCCUCUUCCCAGUACCCUCCCUCAAGUCCCUCCUCGCUGGUCGUCGACAUGGAGACAGGGCCGGGCAGCAUCACGAGGGAGGGCGACCUCCUCCCGGUGUGCCUCGUCCUCGGGAACGCCAUGGGGAGUUCCGUGACUCGGCACCGUCCGCCAGGAUCCCCGAUGUCGCCGCCGCCGCGGACGUGCCCGGGGAGCUCUACUUAGAUUACGUCCACGGCGGCGUGCUGGUGCCAGAGGGGCAUGUGUCGGUGAGUGUCAGCAGGAGGGCGGGCCUGUGGAGCGGUUCGCUGUGCGGGCGGACCUUCGCAGCGCUGCUCAUGCAUGCCGCACAGGAGUACAGGUAAUCACGCCCCAAUGGCAUGGUCCAGCUCCAGUUAUGAAGCACGCGGUUGCGUUGAUUUUAAUAUGAACUUUAAAGCAGGGCUGAGAUUCAACACACUUUGUAUUGAUAUCGAUAGGGGUACAUAUACUCCUACAAGUGCACAUGAUGCAGUUUCAGUGGCUUACAGCAGAUCCUGAGCUCGUCUGAGAGGAGAUGGGGAAGGAAUGUGCGUUGCCUUUGACUAGUGCUGAUAAAGCUUGUGAUAUCCAUGCACCUCAGUCUCGAAAUAUUGUUUGCUGCAGUGACGCGUCUCCUCCUCUUUAUGCAAUAUCAUCGUCAUGGACGAAGUACAUUAAAAGAUUCAUCAAUGCUGAAGCUUUGUGUUGAAGAAGGUUGUUGCACAACGAAGGGAUUUUAAGCUAAUUGUCACAUCUGCAACUAUAAAUGCAAAUAUAAAUGCAAAUCUUUGGAGGCAUUUCGUGCAGGUCAUUUCCAGCAAAUAUCUUGUUCAUCAAAGCACCCCAUGAUGAUUAUGUGCAAGCGUAUGUGAAUCUUCAAUAUAUUGAAUAAGGUUUUUAUUGCUGAGAGAUAUUAACUUGGAUUUGUAAAGAUUAUCAACGGGGGUCAUAUGUACUUAAAAGUUUGGAAAGUACUUUUCAGAAUUGCUUAUCCACCAUCAGCGUGCUCCUGUUUUAUUUGUAUUUCAGGAAGUUGCCAGUUAGGGGCCAGUGUCCAAGCCUCAGUGUGUUGAACGACAAUUCACCCUGGCAUUUGUUGUCAUUCCUGCUAGUCCAGGAAAAAAAAUCUACCUUAGGCAUUCAAAAAAUUGAUAGUGCUCAAAGUACAAGAUGGCCAUGUAGAAAAAAGGUUGGAUGUAUUCUUUGGUACUUGUUGUUUUCCUGCAUCUCACACUCCAUAGCAGUGAUCUUUCUUUUAUCUGUGUAGGUACCGCUGGCUCAAAAGUGUGUUUUCAUCAGGCUACCCAUUUCAUGAUGAUUAGAACAAGGCUCUACCAUGUUCAAUCUAAAUAUCAGUAGGAUUCUUACCUGCAUAUUUUAUGAAACGAGAGUUGGCAAUGAAUGUCGAGAUGCUUAAUUAUGUGUUUGGUAAGAUGCCAUAGCUUCGUAAGUUGUUUGUACUGUGUUAAUUAUGUUUGUUUCUUCACUCUGAAGGGUCAUCAUGUCCUUAGUAGAUGUGAGAACAAAAUUAUAACUUGGAGCUUUAGAAGAACCUAAACUAAUAUUCUUACUGACAGAAGUUUCAGAGAUUGAAUAGUGAGCUUAUUGAUUACAGUUGGAUAGAAUAUAUAUUGCUUGGUGUUAUGCUGAGUUAUAACUUAUAAGUGUUUGAAAUAUGCCCUAAUAAGUUUUUAGGAUGCACGUGUCUUUCAAUCCUAUCAUAAAUCGAUGCAAACAGAGAAGGAUUAAAACAAUAUUUUCGUUAUUGGGAAUUUUAAGUGUCAUCUGCUCUCAUACUUCUCACAUGAAAGCUUGAAGAAAAUCUGAAAAAGGCUCCCUUGUUGGAAACUUGGUUGUUACUUUUUAGAAAUACUUAUAUACAAUAGGACUCACUAACGUGUUGGUAUCCUGGUUAAACAUAAUGAGGUUUCACUUUUCAGAAUUAAAAGAAAAUAUCUACCAUCAAGGACUUAAAAUAGUAGAACGUUCCUCUUUUUAAAUUUGGCCAUACUUUCACCAUCGUUAUUUCUGGUCCAGGUACCUAUCAACUUAAGCAUUCUCGCGGUGAUAUUACUUUUAAUUUUUGUAGUUUUCUUGCAAGUUAAAUUUCUACCAUGAAUCGGGUUUGUGUUCCUUUUGCAUAUUUCUGCCAGUGUGGAUGUCAUGUGCAGAGAUGGAGGCAUCCAUGGGCAUGCCUACGGCUAGAAAGCCAGUGAUCCUAUGAAGCAGUCAACCCGUAUUUUGCAUGAAGCAUGUAAACAUGUGUAUUCGUUGUUCGUUCCAACAUAUAUCUACCUAAGACCCCAGUACACCUAUAUAUUUUUAAAUAUUUGCGUAUUUUCUUUAUUUAACUUAUCUUCAUGACUAUUAUAUAAAGUAAUCUAUAUGUCCAUGGCACGGGACACCUACAACAUGCUAUGCCAGGGGAGCACGAACUGGAGCGUGAACACACCCAUAUAGGACUCCUUCGCAACCCUUAAAUGCAAAAUAUUUUGCUGGUUGGCGACACGAUACUAAUAUAGAAUGUUUAUAUUUGUAUAUACUUUAAGCAACUUCCCGUAGAAACAGUUGUUUAAAAAAACGCAGGUUCACGUGUUGAAACAUGGAUAUGCAUUGUACAGUUGUAGAGAUCCCCCACUUGGCAUAUCCAAUCCAUGGUCUCGAAUGGACGGCCACGGCGACGAUGGUGCAACGUCGGUGUCUGACGAUGAGCCUACUAGGUGUGGUUUCCGAAGGACGCCGAACGCGGAACUGCGGUGGUCCUCACACCGGUGAUGGAGCGGCAGGGGAGGGACCGGUCUUCUCAAGAGAGUGGUGGAGCUCGAUAAAGUGGGUGAUCUCGAGAGAUUGAGGAGGCAGUCAGCUUUACACCCUUUACAUUACUUUUCUACAAAAGGUUUCCAGAAAAAAAAUUGUUAGCCUUUUCUGCAGUACCUUGUCAGUGAAGGUCGCUUUGCUGCAGGAGUAGGGAAGGGGAGAAACUUGCGGCAGCGGUGGCAGGUAGUGGAGGAGCAGGUCCUCUCGCUAGCGGCGGGGAGGCAGAUAAGGGGGCGCCAUAGGCACCGGCGACAGGGACACAAUGGAAGGGAUGGUCGACGCGGCUGUACGAGGGAAAGAGAAGAUAGUGGCACAGGUUGAGAGUGUUAUGUAUCCGGUUCGUGCUGUCAUUUUCUUUUCUUUCCGUAAUCCAUAGUAGUGCAUACACCUCUUCUUUAUUUUCUUCUCUACAGUGUAGCAAUGAAAUGAGCUACUUCAUCAAUUUAUACACUUCUCAGCAAUGAAGUGAGCUACUUCAUCAAUUUAUACACUUCUCAGCAAUGAAGUGAGCUACUUCAUCAAUUUAUACACUUCUCAGUA